CGCUUUUCCCAUACGAUUUUGUCAAGAAGGAGGCUGCAAAGUAUCCCAAUGCGGAAUUGUUGUGGUCUCAGGAGGAGCAUAAGAAUCAAGGCGCUUGGACCUACGUGCAGCCGAGAUUCCAUACGGCGCUUAAUGGCACGCGAAACGUAAUGAAUAUGCUAUAUCCAUAUGAAAGUCCCGAUUUUAAGAUUUUAAAAAGUGUAAAUAUAUAAAUGAAAAAGGAAACAUUUCCUUAUUGUUCGUUUUCUUUGAAAGUCAAAAUUGCCUUUUCCACAUUUUUAAUUUUUACUUUUAAUUAUUUUUUAUCCUCAUAAAGAAAAAA